rnacentral:lncRNA from 1 species
CAGUGCUGUGCCUGCAGUCCAGGCGGGAGUAGAAAUCCUGGGCCCAUCUUACCUCCGACCUCAUUUCCUCCUCUGUAAUAAUGUGGGGGUGGGGGAAAGUUCUGGUCAUCAGCCCUAGCAUUCCAUGGUUCAUUUCCUCAUCAGUGAUGGAAAAUCACCAAGCAAGAGAACAGGAUGGAGAAUAACCGGAUGGGUGCAAUCGGAGGUGCUAUUUCAGGAGCUGGCCAUUCUUCAAGUCAGAAGGCCUGAGAGAGGAGCUGCCCAGGUGGUCUUCAUGGGGCUGUGCGGCCAGUCAUCCCCCACAGGUUGACAAUCCUUGCGUACUUCAUCCUUGUUGGAUCCUCUGUAUCCCUGACGAUGAGCAACUGUGAGGCCCGUUUCAGCACUGAGUUCCAGUCAGGAAAACAUCCACCCACCCACCACACGCUCACACUUACACACACAUUCACACAUGCACACACGUUCUGGCUCCGAAAAAGAAAAAAAAAAAGCAAUUUAAAAUAAUUCUGAUCCUUUGCUUAUUUCCACAAACUCCAUGAAAAUUGUACAUUGUCCAAGCAACAUUUCUUAAUAUUCUCUUUUUCUCUCAUAUCCAUUUUCCUUACUGCUGUCUCCACCUUUCUCUUCCAAACUCCCUGUUAAAAUCCCUGCCCCAGCGAACUUUUAUUCAAUUUUGUGGAAUGGAGGCUGCUCUGAUUUAAAUUAAAAAAAAAAAAAAUCCCUACUCCAUGUCCCAGAUCCCUAGUUGUUUUUUGUUUUUUGUUUUCCUGAGACAGGGUCUUGUGUCUUCCAUGCUGGAGUGCAGUGGCAUGAUCAUGGCUCACUGCAGCCUCAACCUCCUGGGCUCAAGUAAUUCUCUUGCCUCAGCCUCCCCAGUAGCUGGGAGUUCAGGUAUGUGCUACCAUGCCUAGCUAAUUUUUUUCUUUUAUUUUGUAGAGACACGGUCUUGCCAGGUUGCCCAGGCUGGUCUAGAACCCCUGGGCUUAAGUGAUCCUCCUGCCUCGGCUUCCCAAAGUGCUGGGAUUACAAGUGUGAGGCACUGCACCCAGGCUGGAUCCCUGCAUUUUUACAGAUUUAGCAUCACAAAAGUCUAAACAAUUAGACUGACUAAGGCAGAACUGCCCUUAUGACAGCAGACAUAAGAAGGAAAAGGCCAAAACACUGUGUUAAAAAUUAUCCAAAUGUGAGGAAAAGGCAAAGAGAGUAGGUGUGCCUUUUUAGUGUCUAAGCUGCCUGCCCAAGGGGCAUCUGAUGCUCUCAGGCAGGAGUCCACAAAUUUUUUUUUGUAAAAGAUCAGAUAGUAAAUCUUUUCAGCGUGAAGAGCAUGAGGUCUCUGUCACAAAUACUCAACCACCAUUACAACAUGAAAGCAGCCAACAGACAACACAUGACAAAUGAGUGUGGCUGUGUUCCAGUAAAUCUUGAUUACAAAAACAGGCAAGAGGCCAGAGCUGACCCAUGGGCCAUAGUUUGCUGACCCCUUCUGUAAAGGAAAGUAUUUUUGUUUGACUUGCUGUUUACCAUUGAUUGAACACAAGGCUCUGUAGAGUUACUUGUUAACUUGCAGAAGAUUGAUGAGUGGCAAGUAAUUUUUAUUCACCAGAAUAUAAAAUUAUUUCUGUUCAGUAGAAAAGAUAAACCCAACUGUUAUAUUAUUGUCCUGUUUUGUAUGUAACUUUGCUUCAUUUUUUAACAAAUUAAUAUUAUUGCCCUAAUUUGUAUAUAACUAUGCUUCUUUUAAAAAUAUAUAUUUUUUAAUAAAUUUGAGACAGGGUCUCACUAGGUUGCCCAGGCUGGUCUUGAACUCCUGGCCUCAAGUGACUCUCCCACCUUAGCCUACUGCAUAGCUGGGAUUACAGGCACAAACCACUGCAUGCAGCUAACUUUGCUUCUCAUUCCAGCACUUUUUAUUCCACUGAUUAUAUGUAUAUGUAUAUCUGCAUCAUCUCUCUCUCUCUCUCUCUCUCUCUCUCU